UAAUAAUGUGCACAUGGUACAGAAAAGUGGCGCUUCCUUGUCACACCAGUGAAGCAUUAUGCCGAUCAUCCCGUCUAUGUAAUCCGCAUUAAAGCUAUUCUGUCGAGUCUGUAACGAUCGCGCGGCAGCCCCUAUAAUGCUGUACAACUGGUCGGGCAGAAUGUUGCUCAUUCUAAUGGAAACUUCUCGACAAUGCCUUACUAUGAAUUCUGGAAGACAAAAUUAAAUUCAACAUUAAACAUGUUAUAUUCGCCAAUCAACAAAAUUACCCACCUAAGUCUUCCAAAGCAGCCAGAAUCAGAUGCAAUGAAGAAUUCUUUGUGAUCAUGCAAGUCAUUGCAUCUUCAGAUCGUUGAGCUAACGUUUUGCUUUUCUUGGGCUGUGAGAAUCUUCUCUGUUGCAGUUUCUUCAAAGAAGCUAAUCGAGAGAUGUUUAAUUUUCUGAAGACGUAACCUCUCCAAAUUGCCUACAAGUUAUUUAUACUUUUAAGUGUUAAUAAAGUAGAUAAUGACUUCACAAUCUUAAA